CCCCCUUUUUUAUGAAUAAAGCCCCAUAAAUCCAAAACUUAAAAUCUGAAAUUAAAAAAAACGAAAGGGAGCUUACGUCAAUAGAUAUAAACAAUUCACCAAAGUUUCAUGGACAUUAGUGAAAGCUUUUUUGAGUUAUUGUCCGAAGUGUUGAAAAUCCCCCUUUUUUAUGAAUAAAGCCCCAUAAAUCCAAAACUUAAAAUCUGACAUUAAAAAAAAAUGAAAGGGAGCUUACGUCAAUAGAUAUAAACAAUUCACUUAAGUUUCAUGGAAAUUGGUGAAAGUGUUUUUGAGUUAUUGUCCGAAGUGUGGACGACGGACGGACGGACGGACAGACGGACAACGGUAUACCAUAAUACGUCCCGUCUAAAAGACGACGGGCGUAUAAAAAUAA
rnacentral:lncRNA from 1 species